GGUCAGCUCACUUCUAAACUUGGUCGGCUCAGUGUCAGGAGGCUAAAAAUUAAGCUUUUUGCCAUUUUGCUCCACUACUCAGUUGGUCGGCUCAGUCUAGAACAGGAUUGGCUCAGUUGAACUCGAUCAACUCACUUUGAACUGGGUUGGCUAACUGAACUAUUUCAUGAAACUUCAGUCUUCCUAUCUUUUGACUGUUCUCUAUCAUUGGGUCGGCUCAGUUAAAACUGAAUCGACUUA
rnacentral:lncRNA from 1 species